rnacentral:tmRNA from 1 species
CCCCUUCACAUUCGGCGUAAACGCGCUAUAUCGGACUUGCCGGCUUCGGUCGGCUAUGGCGAUAAAUUGCGGUGUGCAAUAGGCACAGCGGACCCGGGGGCAGUACCCGGCGGCUCCACCAGAACAGGCAAUUCCCCGCCAGUUCUGACGGGGCCGAACCAGGAUCGACGUGUGUUGAAAGGCACUGUUUUCGCCCGGGUUGAGAAACCCCGUAAAAAGCUCAAAACACACAAGUGCCAACGAUAACGAAGCACUCGCCAUCGCUGCGUAAUUUUACGUCCUAACGGACUGAAUUACAAAGCUAAAGCGCGGUUGGACCCACCGGGCAACAGAAGCGGAUACC